GCCGGCAGCUAGCUUUCUGCAACUCUCACAUGUCGCCCACUGAAGCUAAGCAGGGCUGCGCCCGGUCAGUACCUGGAUGGGAGACCACAUGGGAAAGCUAGGUUGCUGCCGGAA
rnacentral:rRNA from 1 species